GUGGCGGACGGGUGAGUAACACGUAGGUAACCUGCCCCGGAGCGGGGGAUAACAUUUGGAAACAGAUGCUAAUACCGCAUAACAACAAAAGCUGCAUGGCUUUUGUUUGAAAGAUGGCUUUGGCUAUCACUCUGGGAUGGACCUGCGGUGCAUUAGCUAGUUGGUAAGGUAACGGCUUACCAAGGCGAUGAUGCAUAGCCGAGUUGAGAGACUGAUCGGCCACAAUGGAACUGAGACACGGUCCAUACUCCUACGGGAGGCAGCAGUAGGGAAUCUUCCACAAUGGGCGCAAGCCUGAUGGAGCAACACCGCGUGAGUGAAGAAGGGUUUCGGCUCGUAAAGCUCUGUUGUUGGAGAAGAACGUGCGUGAGAGUAACUGUUCACGCAGUGACGGUAUCCAACCAGAAAGUCACGGCUAACUACGUGCCAGCAGCCGCGGUAAUACGUAGGUGGCAAGCGUUAUCCGGAUUUAUUGGGCGUAAAGCGAGCGCAGGCGGUUGCUUAGGUCUGAUGUGAAAGCCUUCGGCUUAACCGAAGAAGUGCAUCGGAAACCGGGCGACUUGAGUGCAGAAGAGGACAGUGGAACUCCAUGUGUAGCGGUGGAAUGCGUAGAUAUAUGGAAGAACACCAGUGGCGAAGGCGGCUGUCUGGUCUGCAACUGACGCUGAGGCUCGAAAGCAUGGGUAGCGAACAGGAUUAGAUACCCUGGUAGUCCAUGCCGUAAACGA
rnacentral:rRNA from 1 species